GCUGGCGGUAGGCCUAACACAUGCAAGUCGAACGGCAGCACAGUAAGAGCUUGCUCUUAUGGGUGGCGAGUGGCGGACGGGUGAGGAAUACAUCGGAAUCUACCUUUUCGUGGGGGAUAACGUAGGGAAACUUACGCUAAUACCGCAUACGACUUCGGGUGAAAGCAGGGGACCUUCGGGCCUUGCGCGGAUAGAUGAGCCGAUGUCGGAUUAGCUAGUUGGCGGGGUAAAGGCCCACCAAGGCGACGAUCCGUAGCUGGUCUGAGAGGAUGAUCAGCCACACUGGAACUGAGACACGGUCCAGACUCCUACGGGAGGCAGCAGUGGGGAAUAUUGGACAAUGGGCGCAAGCCUGAUCCAGCCAUACCGCGUGGGUGAAGAAGGCCUUCGGGUUGUAAAGCCCUUUUGUUGGGAAAGAAAAGCAGUCGAUUAAUACUCGGUUGUUCUGACGGUACCCAAAGAAUAAGCACCGGCUAACUUCGUGCCAGCAGCCGCGGUAAUACGAAGGGUGCAAGCGUUACUCGGAAUUACUGGGCGUAAAGCGUGCGUAGGUGGUUGUUUAAGUCUGUUGUGAAAGCCCUGGGCUCAACCUGGGAAUUGCAGUGGAUACUGGGCGACUAGAGUGUGGUAGAGGGUAGUGGAAUUCCCGGUGUAGCAGUGAAAUGCGUAGAGAUCGGGAGGAACAUCCAUGGCGAAGGCAGCUACCUGGACCAACACUGACACUGAGGCACGAAAGCGUG
rnacentral:rRNA from 1 species